rnacentral:rRNA from 1 species
AGUGAACGCUGGCGGUAGGCCUAACACAUGCAAGUCGAACGGCAGCACAGUAAGAGCUUGCUCUUACGGGUGGCGAGUGGCGGACGGGUGAGGAAUACAUCGGAAUCUACUUUUUCGUGGGGGAUAACGUAGGGAAACUUACGCUAAUACCGCAUACGACCCACGGGUGAAAGCAGGGGAUCUUCGGACCUUGCGCGAUUGAAUGAGCCGAUGCCGGAUUAGCUAGUUGGCGGGGUAAAGGCCCACCAAGGCGACGAUCCGUAGCUGGUCUGAGAGGAUGAUCAGCCACACUGGAACUGAGACACGGUCCAGACUCCUACGGGAGGCAGCAGUGGGGAAUAUUGGACAAUGGGCGCAAGCCUGAUCCAGCCAUACCGCGUGGGUGAAGAAGGCCUUCGGGUUGUAAAGCCCUUUUGUUGGGAAAGAAAAGCAGCAGGUUAAUACCCCGCUGUUCUGACGGUACCCAAAGAAUAAGCACCGGCUAACUUCGUG